AAAUUCCAAUUAAACAUAUUCAUAAACAAACAAAUAUCUUUAUGUUUGUGGUUAUAAUGUAGCAAAUUAUGAAAAAGUUCAAUGGAUGUGAAUGUUUUUGCCAGCCACUGUACUUCUAAAAAUACUGAAAUGGAAAGAUGGAUGGAUGGAUCCACUCAGGUUAAUGUGUAUUUAUUUGUACUAGGAAACCACAAGAUGGGGAAUAAGCAACCAAAAAGUAACGAAACAGAUCCAGUUGAAUCAUCAACAAAACCUAAGAAGAACAAGAAGAAGAAGGAGGAUUUUGCCACAGGCCAAACUUUUGGGGCAGAUAAAGCUUUUAAGAAUAAAGUUAAGAAGAAGCUAAAGAGAAAAAUCUGCAAAAAGAAGAUACGCCACCUCAUGGUUUUUUGUCCCAUCACGUCUCGUGUUGGCUCAGAUGUGGAAGCAGCAUUGGAGCAAGUGAAAAGUGAUCAGCGUAUCAUUUUGGUUUUGAUGCAUCACACCAGAGAUCCUGAUUACUCAACUGCUGGGACAAAUUGGUCUGAAAACAUUAAUAAUGUUGACUUGGAUGUUCACGUUCUCUUUCAUGAAUCUGUGCCGGGGUUGUUGAAAUGUUCACAAAAUGAUAAGGCUGUGGAUCAAAUUGUUAAAUUUUUAAAAAAGAAGACAAAGUAAAGAAGAUCAGCAAAAAAUAGAAAAAUAAGAAAGAGGGAACCAAAUUAGAAGGAAAAAUUUGAAAAAUCAAUUGAACUAGAUGACAUGCAAAAGGAAGAAGAAAGUAUUCCUGCACUGAGUUACUAUUAAGUAGCCACAUAUUGACUUGUUAAAAUUCAAAAAGAUAAUUUCUUCUUGGAAACAAAAUGACAGAAUUAUUUAAAAAAAUAUUAUAUGUAUAAAACAUGAGGAUUAUUAAGUUCAACACCUGACAUGAAUCAUGUUGUUUUUGAUUUGUAUUAAAAUGUAUUUUACAAGUACUAGGUAAACAAAAAAUCAGCAGAAAGCUAUAUACAAGAAUGUAUAAUCAUAUUUAAUAAAUCAUGUGUUCUGAUAAGGCUUGUCAGAAUAAAAGUACAUUCUGAAAGGAAAUUUUUUUUCAUUUACCACAAUUUCCUGCAACAUUUUUUAAAUCUUUUUGAUCUGAUUUAACUGCUCUAAUGCUAUGUGUCAUCUUUUACAUUAGCUGAAAAUAAAAAAUAAUAGAAAGAUGGGAAACAUUCUGUGAGUAAUUAAUCUACAUAAUGUGUUUCGUUUAGAUUAACUUUUCAAUAACAUUUUAAUUGAUCAAAUAUGAAUUUAUGUAUUUAAGAAUAAAAGUUCUCUCUUGUCACUUUGUGUUUAAAUGACAUGAAAUUCAGUUUUCAGGACUGAAGACCUUGUAAAAUAACUAAUAAUUAAAAUAUCUUUAAGCUUCUCUGUCACGUUAGAGAAUCAUUCCUGUUUUUCUGCUUUUAUUCAUUUCUGAGGUUCAUGUCAGAACCAUAGUUGUUUAUUUUGUACAUGUUGCCUCUGUCCUUUCUGUAUGAAGCAUAAUACUCAAGAUAAUGAUGUCAUUGCCUCCAUCUUUUUUCAACUUUGACCUUUGGCUAAAGCUAAGCCUUAUCUCUCUUUUUAUGUCAUUUGCUAUUCAUGUUUUUAUCACAUUGACUGUUGUAAUUCUUUUCUUUGUAUUAGUGUAGAUUAAUCAUCUCAGCAUCAUUUAGAAAUAGUUCAAAUUGCUGCUGAUCUUAAAGCCGGUGCUCUUCAAAUGUUUUCUGCUUAAACCCAUUCAGAAAUCUUUACUUCCUUUGGUCUUUGGCUGAUUGGCCACAAGACACUAAAAUAUUUCUACAAAGUUUGAACUCAUUAAACUUGUAAGGCACUUACACUAAAACUCCACAGUUUUAGUGUAAAUGCUGCAAGUACUAAAAUAUUUACAGUAAAGUAAGUACCUGUAAUAUGGAAGAAUCUUUGUCAUGAACGUUAAAUAUCUCCUGUAGCUGUUCAACAGCUGUAUUUUUUUAUCUUUUGAUAUUGUGGAUUAUUUGUGACAUAUUUUGGACAUUUUUAAUUGGCUGAUUUUAUUGAUUGAUUUGACUGAUUUUGUGCUUCAUUUAUUUGCAUAAAAGCUGUAAAUAAAAGCUGACUUUCCAAUUUCUAUAUUAUGCAUAUGACUUGAUCAUGUCACUCUCACAUUUCGGAAGUUCGGUUCAUUGUCAAAAUUAGAAAUAAAUUAAUAAAAAAAUAAAAGAAAUGAAUAAACUUUUAUUUUUAUUUUUUUUGCUGUUGUGUUUCCUCUGAGCCAUGUCUUUUCAAGUAAACAAGAAAACUGUAAGGAUCUUUAAUA